UACGAAGGGGGCUAGCGUUGUUCGGAUUCACUGGGCGUAAAGGGUGCGUAGGUGGUCAGGUAAGUCUGAUGUGAAAGCUCUGGGCUCAACCCAGAAAUGGCAUUGGAUACUAUCUGGCUAGAGGAAUGGAGGGGGGACUGGAAUACUUGGUGUAGCAGUGAAAUGCGUAGAUAUCAAGUGGAACACCAGUGGCGAAGGCGAGUCCCUGGACAUUUCCUGACACUGAGGCACGAAAGCUAGGGGAGCAAACAGG
rnacentral:rRNA from 1 species